rnacentral:rRNA from 1 species
UACAGAGGGUGCAAGCGUUGUUCGGAAUUAUUGGGCGUAAAGGGCGCGUAGGCGGCUGUACAAGUCAAAGGUGAAAUCCCUCGGCUCAACUGAGGAACUGCCUUUGAAACUGUACGGCUUGAGGCCGGGAGGGGGUAGCGGAAUUCCCAGUGUAGCGGUGAAAUGCGUAGAUACUGGGAGGAACACCAGUGGCGAAGGCGGCUACCUGGACCGGUUCUGACGCUGAGGCGCGAAAGCCAGGGGAGCAAACGGG